rnacentral:lncRNA from 1 species
CGAGACUGCGCAUGCGCCUGCGCGAGCGACCCACGUGCUUUGUCCCGGCAGGCGCAUGCGCGAGCGAGCGAACAUGGCGACGCGCUGCACGUCUCGCGUUACCGGACAGUGAGACACACCGAGAGAGAAAACAAGAGAAACGGUUUUGUCAGUACUGCGUCUCGAUGCAGAUGCUCCAGGUGAAAUGAAUAAGGCACCUCAGCCUCUGUCAGGACCCCCCUCCGCCCCGCUUCCCGCGCCCACCCCGGGCCUGUCCCAGCCCAGUUUUUCUCCUGUUCCGCCAAUUGUGUUCGGCACCCCUCCGCCACAGAUGAACCCCGCCGCCCAACCCCGACAGGUACGGCACCCCAGACACGCAUCACUUCCUGUGGGCCUGCUGGGUCAUUGGCCCAUUCGUUUUCCAGCCAAGCCAAACCAAACCAGCCAGCCCGUGUUACAUUUAAUAUACAUUUUAAAGGUAUUUAGGUAUUAAAGACUUAAGCAUCAGAAAAACACUAAGGUCUUCCAUAAAGCAGAGAUUCCCAAAAUCUGCGAGCUAAAAUAUUUACUUGAAGUCUCCCUGAGAUUUUAACUUAUUUCAAUAAAUAAGCACAUUCAUAUGGUCACAGUUCUCAGAAUCAAUGGUUACAUGGCAUGCAGGUAAACAAAUACAAUAUUUAAUCUUUUGCUUUAUCUUGCUUUUUUUUAAUUAUUUUAAUUGUAUGAUUGUUGCCAUAAAACACUUCCAAAGAUAGAAUCAAAUCAGUCUUGAAUUUUAAUACAAAAUUAG